GGGGGAUAUUGCGCAAUGGGGGCAACCCUGACGCAGCAACGCCGCGUGAAGGAUGAAGGUUUUCGGAUUGUAAACUUCUUUUAUUAAGGACGAAACUUGACGGUACUUAAUGAAUAAGCUCCGGCUAACUACGUGCCAGCAGCCGCGGUAAUACGUAGGGAGCAAGCGUUGUCCGGAUUUACUGGGUGUAAAGGGUGCGUAGGCGGCUUUGCAAGUCAGAUGUGAAAUCUAUGGGCUCAACCCAUAAACUGCAUUUGAAACUGUAGAGCUUGAGUGAAGUAGAGGCAGGCGGAAUUCCCCGUGUAGCGGUGAAAUGCGUAGAGAUGGGGAGGAACACCAGUGGCGAAGGCGGCCUACUGGGCACCAACUGACGCUGAGGCUCGAAAGUGUGGGUAGCAAACAGGAUUAGAUACCCUGGUAGUCCACACCGUAAACGAUGAUUACUAGGUGUUGGAGGAUUGACCCCUUCAGUGCCGCAGUUAACACAAUAAGUAAUCCACCUGGGGAGUACGACCGCAAGGUUGAAACUCAAAGGAAUUGACGGGGGCCCGCACAAGCAGUGGAGUAUGUGGUUUAAUUCGACGCAACGCGAAGAACCUUACCAAGUCUUGACAUCCCUUGACAGACAUAGAAAUAUGUUUUCUCUUCGGAGCAAGGAGACAGGUGGUGCAUGGUUGUCGUCAGCUCGUGUCGUGAGAUGUUGGGUUAAGUCCCGCAACGAGCGCAACCCUUAUGGUCAGUUACUACGUAAGAGGACUCUGGCCAGACUGCCGUUGACAAAACGGAGGAAGGUGGGGAUGACGUCAAAUCAUCAUGCCCUUUAUGACUUGGGCUACACACGUACUACAAUGGCGUUAAACAAAGAGAAGCAAGACCGCGAGGUGGAGCAAAACUCAGAAACAACGUCCCAGUUCGGACUGCAGGCUGCAACUCGCCUGCACGAAGUCGGAAUUGCUAGUAAUCGUGGAUCAGCAUGCCACGGUGAAUACGUUCCCG
rnacentral:rRNA from 1 species